GGCCUGACCAAGGUCCCAGAUCCCAGGAUUUUACCUGUAUCCUGAUGAUUGUGCAGCUGUUGGUCCAACUCUCCAGGGAGUCGGUGGCAAUGGCUGCUGGGAAGGUACAGGUCCCCCAGGUAAAGGAAAUCCCAAACUAUCAGGUGUCACCAUCUCCUUCAACUUGAGGGGCACAAAGGGCCAGCAUGAUUGUCACAUCCCAGUCAGGGAACCAAAUAUUGCGAGAAACAGAGUAUCAACAAGCAGCCAGCAGCACUGGGAGAGGAGGAGAACUUCAAACUUUAUUUACACCAACAGACCUCCCCCAAAAAACAAAAACUACAAAUCCUGAGUCCUGACCCACAGUUUCUCACAAUAUUUAUAAGUUGUUUGAUG
rnacentral:lncRNA from 1 species